GCUGGCGUAGCUUAAACAAAGCAUAACACUGAAGAUGUUAAGAUGGGCCUUGAAAAGCCUCGCUAGCA
rnacentral:tRNA from 1 species